CCUACGGGUGGCAGCAGUGGGGAAUAUUGGGCAAUGGAGGCAACUCUUACCCAGCAAUGCCGCGUGAAUGAAGAAGGUCUUCGGAUUGUAAAGUUCUUUAAUUGGGGACGAAAAAAAUGACGGUACCCAAGGAAUAAGCCCCGGCUAAAUACGUGCCAGCAGCAGCGGUAAUCCGUAGGGGGCAAGCGUUGUUCGGGAUGACUGGGCGUAAAGGGUUUGUGGGCGGUGUUGGAAGUUAGAAGGGAAAUACCUAGGGCUUAACUCAGGUGCUGCUUCUGAAACUGCUAGACUUGAGUGCAGUAGAGGAAAGUGGAAUUCCUAGUGUAGCGGUGGAAUGCGUAGAUAUCAGGAAGAACACCGGUGGCGAAGGCAGCCUGCUGGACUGCAACUGACAUUGAGGCCCGAAAGCGUGGGUAGCAAACAGGAUUAGAUACCCGAGUAGUC
rnacentral:rRNA from 1 species